CCCAAAGUCAGCGACAACCUCCCCUCCAAAAAGAAAAAAACCUAGGUCACAGCCGCCCCCAAAUCUACAUCCCGAUCCACCCGUGCCCUCCACCAUCCCGCCGCCGCCGCCGCCCCCAACCAUCCCACCGCCGCUGUCGCACCCGCCAUCCCGUCGCCGCGGACAGCCCUCCACCCCGACCAUUGCCGCAGUCGCCCCUAACUACCCAACAGCAGCACUGGCAGCACCCCACUAACCCGGACCACCACUGUCGCCGAGCCACUCAACCGGCGACUACCCUCCUCGAAUGCCUUCCCUCGCCACCACUCUACUUCGCGAGAUUCCUCCCCCGAGCAGGCUUCCUCCCUAAGACGAUGGAGCCAGUAGUUCUUCGGAUGAGAUGGGUGAGUGCAAUGGUGUUGGUGUGUUCUUCGGAUGAGAUUGUGUCUGCAAUGUUGUUGGUGUGUUCUUCGGAUGAGAGAAGAACAAGUAGGUAAUUCGAACCAGUGGUCUGUUGAUUACUCUUAUGUAAUAUUUGUAUUUUCUCUAGGUGCUGAUUUAAUCCUUCUGAACCCCAAUGAGGCUGAUAGCCUAAAUAAAUCUUUGCUCCAGGUAACUUCUACAAGUUUUGUAUUUAGUCUUCUGUUGCAUCAGGGGCAAACAAGCGCUCUCUUGUCUGAGUUUUACUUUCCUAUAUUGUAGAGUGCAUGAUUGUAGGACUACACAGUUUACAGAAUUUCUCUCAAAACAAAUAAAUAGAAGGAUUACAUGGAUGCAUAUUAGGUGAACUGUACUAUAGGCUGUGCACUUGCCUUUUUCCUUCACAUCAAAAGUUCAAAACUGAUUUCUUGUAGGCUGUGCACUUGCCUUAUUGUUGGAAACAGAAAUGGAGCUCUGUCCUGUUAUUUUCUCUGUACUCUACCCUCAUGGUUCGUAGGGUAACAAGCACAAUAUUUAAAUGAAAUGUUGUUUACUGUCGGUGGCUUAUUUGUAUGCCUAACAAAUGUGGAUGGGCUUCUAGCCCAGUGGUCAGCGAACGGCUGUGUGAGCUGGCCGACGCAGGUUGGAGCCUCGGCUCGUACUCUGCUGUCUCACAUUCUCCUCUUAAUUAAAAAAUCAGUAGGGCUUCUUCCCCUACUGGUCUAGUUUUUUUAUGCCUAACAAAUUGGGUGCAAUGCUCAUUUGGUAAAAAUUUCUUACACUGUUGGUGGCUUGUUCAUGUGCUAGUCUGGCAUUGGUGAACUGUACUGUAGGUUGUGCACUUGCCUGUAGGUUGUGCACUUGGCUAGCUGGUUAGCCAUGUAAUUCUGCACCCUCUUUUGUUUGUAGGGUGUAUUUGAGAUCCCAUUUAUCUGCUCAUGUCUUAUUUUCAGUUCCAAAAUUUAGUAGUGCAAGUUACUGAUUGAUGUAUGGUUUCAAUGCUUGGUCGUGGUUACACAUGUAGUAAUGUAUAUUUGUUGGUAAGAACAAUGUGUGAUAGUAUGGUUUGUCAUGACUCACGAGUGUGUCGAAAAAUCUAGACUUUGCCAUGACUUGAUAUUGCAGAGAUGUGUGUCGGAAGUACAAAUUGGUCCAAUGCUUACUAUCACUCUCACAUAUCUUUUAGUUGUUUCUACAGAAAGCUUUACGAAGUGAAUUCAUUACUACUUGAAGUCUUGUGUAUGGAAGGGAAAUUGGACAUUCUGCUCACUGUGUACUAAUCAAAAUUUUCCCAUCUGAUGUUUAUGGAUUACUUAUGGCAAGGAAGCAGAGUUUGGAGCCACAUGCUGAUUCGUUGUUAUUGUUUAAAAGAUGAACCAGAGCAAGUACACUAAUAUUGCGUUGAUUGCUUAAACAACUUUGCUUCUAUGUAUGCAGUAGGAAGUAGACAAGUCCGUGGCAAAAGCAGGAAUUCGACCACAAGCAUGCUGAGUAGGUAAUAUUCAUGUUUCUCUUGCCUAUUAAGCUGAGGUCUAAGUGGGUCAUUCUUUUUAUUGAUUGAGGUCUAUUUUUUUUUGCUUCUACUGCUCUACAUUCUCCAGGAUGAUGCUUUUUACUAUUUGCAAUCACGUUUCACACUCUCACCCAACGUUUACGAGUUGACGAGUCAGAUGAGUCGUUCGAAGGUUGAGACUCAUAGACUAAUCGUGACUAGUCUAGACUACUGCUGGACUAGUCGACAUGGUACUGUAGUUCACAACUUGCAGCAAUCAAUUACUAAAACCUAGUAUUAAUAUGUAAUAUAUACUAUAGAAAGUGCAUUGGAGCAUCAAUUUGUUCUGCAGAUUAGGCCAGUAAGCAUAUUUCCAUGUUGGAUCCUUGCUCCUAGUUGGCUUCUUGCAGGAUCCUUCGAUGGAUCAUAUUGCUCAUUGGCCUAAGCUGCAGCUGCUGAAUACAAUACUUGAGAUAUUUCCGGCAUAGACAUUGCACUUCAGACCUAAAGAUCUUGAAACUGAAGCAAACAAAACGAAAUAAGGAAGAGGGCAGGGGGUAAAAAUCGAAUCAAAGAAGGGAAGAAGAGAAGGGAGAAAUUACUUUGCUAGUAUGCUUGCUUGCUUACUGCAACCUGAGGGACAAGCGGAUCCAGUAGCCAGAAGGCAGCAGACGGAGACCGUAGGGCAGAUCUAGGGAGAGCAGAAGGAAUGGAGGGAAAGGGCCAGAGCAGAGGAGUGCAGAUCCAUGAAGAGCAUAAGCAAUGGAGGGAAAGGGGCAGGGUGGCUGGCUCACUUAUCCCCUCCCAAUCUCUAAAAAAAAUUGAGUCGAACGACUCAAGGUGCACGACUAGUCCUUCGACUCCUCGACUGGGCGAACUAGUCUACACGAGAUUUCUAGUCGACACCCAGAAUGCGACUCAUAGACUAGUCUAGCGACUAGUCUCGACUAGUCCCUUGACUCGUAAUCAAUGCUCUCACCACAAUAGCAAAUCAAUUAGAAAAGAAUGCCGCUGGUUGUGGUUGUAUGUUUGUUUGUAUGUAGAGUGGUAGACGACAUAAUCAUAUUCUGUAUUUUUGUUUGUAUGUUUCCAAGGAUUUUCAUGUCCUGAACUUUAUACAGUACUCAAGUUUACAAAAAGAAGAUUUUAUACAGUAAUUGCGGCAGCAACUCCUCUUGGAAUUGGAACUGUGAAAGGAUGUGUCAUAUUUGCUUCCUUUGCACUUUUAGAUCCAUGCUUGUUUUCCUAGUUUGCCUCAUGCUGCUUGGUUUUACAUGUACAUGUCAUAGAACAAAAGCCUCACAUUUAGCAUAAGUUUUCGAAUUAAAAAAAAGAGGCACAUACAUGUCUCAGUGUGAGCAGCUGAAACCUUGCAAAAAUUUCAUAUGCAAGCCUCGAAAAUUCCAUAUGGAAGCCAGAGAGGGUUGCAGAAAUGGCCCAUACUCACUUUAAUAUUGCCUGGUCUUUUUUUUGGUCCCAGAUUCUAUGUGGCGUGCAGUUCAUAGAUUCUUCUUGUGUUUGUCUUGUUUCUUAACUGCUUUCUUACCUACUGACAUAGCUAUAAUCUCCAUUUUGAGUUUCCGAUAUGUUGCAGGUUUCACAAAGGUACACAAGUUGAUGGAGGUUUGGAAGAUCUUCAAGCUGUUGAAGAUUUGGAAGACCUACAAUGAAGUUGGUGGAGUGAUAAUGCCAUAUGUCUUAUUUGUUGAAUCUGGAGAUUGCUUUGCUCAUUUUGGUUGUGGCACAUCUAGAAAUUUAUGUACUCAUUUUGUGGUACUACUUCAUUUUUGUAGUCUGGCACAUCUAGAAACAUAUAUGUACUUCUCCUUUUGUGGAAAAACCUUGUGUUUAUUGAAUAUAUUUUAAGGUUCUGAUGAGGCCUAUAUGUUACUUUGAUUGAUGAA